rnacentral:tRNA from 1 species
GGAGGGGUGGCCGAGUGGUUGAAGGCGCACGCUUGGAAAGCGUGUGUUCUAUGCAAAUAGAACCCAGGGUUCGAAUCCCUGCCUCUCCG